rnacentral:rRNA from 1 species
CCUACGAGUGGCAGCAGUGGGGAAUAUUGGACAAUGGGGGGAACCCUGAUCCCGCGACGCCGCGUGAGUGAAGAAGUAUCUCGGUAUGUAAAGCUCUAUCAGCAGGGAAGAAAGAAAUGACGGUACCUGACUAAGAAGCCCCGGCUCACUACGUGCCAGCAGCCGCGGUAAUACGUAGGGGGCAAGCGUUAUCCGGAUUUACUGGGUGUAAAGGGAGCGUAGACGGCUGGGCAAGUCUGAAGUGAAAGGACGGGGGCCAACCCCCGGACUGCUUUGGAAACUGUAUAGCUAGAGUGCAGGAGAGGUAAGUGGAAUUCCUAGGGUAGCGGUGAAAUGCGUAGAUAUUAGGAGGAACACCAGUGGCGAAGGCGGCUUACUGGACUGUAACUGACGUUGAGGCUCGAAAGCGUGGGGAGCAAACAGGAUUAGAUACCCGAGUAGUC